rnacentral:rRNA from 1 species
AGCAGCCGCGGUAAUUCCAGCUCCAAUAGCGUAUAUUAAAGUUGUUGCAGUUAAAAAGCUCGUAGUUGAAUUUCGGGAUUGACGUGAUGGUCGUGCCUUAAGGGGUAUGAACUGUCGCAGUUGAUUUCUCACCUUCUGGAGAAGCUUGAUGUCCUUAAUUGGGUGUCAUGUGGAACCAGGACCUUUACCUUGAAAAAAUUAGAGUGUUUAAAGCAGGCAUUUUGCUCGAAUACAUUAGCAUGGAAUAAUAGAAUAGGACGGCAUGGUUCUAUUUUGUUGGUUUCUAGGAUCACCGUAAUGAUUAAUAGGGAUAGUUGGGGGCAUUAGUAUUCAAUUGUCAGAGGUGAAAUUCUUGGAUUUAUGAAGACUAACUACUGCGAAAGCAUUUGCCAAGGAUGUUUUCAUUAAUCAAGAACGAAAGUUAGGGGAUCGAAGACGAUCAGAUACCGUCGUAGUCUUAACCAUAAACUAUGCCGACUAGGAAUCAGACGAUGUUAAUUUUUAAUGUACUCAUUC